rnacentral:lncRNA from 1 species
UCCAUAUCCCAAAGAAAAUUCUCCAAUUCACGUGCACUCCUUGCACCACCAUAUGCCUUAGGUUAAGGAAUUCUCACCUUGAGGCGUUCAACACCAUGUUAAGCAUCCUAGCCCACAAACACGUCGUAGUAUCACUUUCUCGGUCUUCAGAUCUGUGUUUUCUCGACUAAGACUUGCCAUUUCUGCCUCAAGAAAUGCAAGUCUUGUCACAAAUGCCUUAGGUUCAAGAAUUCUCACCUUGAGACGUUCAGCACCACGUUGAGAAGCAUCUUCACCCACAACACGUCGUAGUACCACUGUCUCGGCCUUCAGAUCCAUAUUCUUUCGACUUAGCAUUGCCAAUUCUGCCUCAAGAUAGGCAAGCCUUGUCACGAGGGUUGAAUUUCUUCACCAUUAGGAACAUUUUCCACCAAUGCUUCUAGUUUCGUUAGCCUUUCCCGCAGUUCAUUAUUAC